rnacentral:rRNA from 1 species
CUAUCAUGCAGUCGAGCGAGAGAGGGAGCUUGCUCCCUGAUCUUAGCGGCGGACGGGUGAGUAACACGUGGGCAACCUGCCCUGCAGACUGGGAUAACUCCGGGAAACCGGAGCUAAUACCGGGUAAUACAUCGCACCGCAUGGUGCAAUGUUGAAAGUUGGCUUUCUGAGCUAACACUGCAGGAUGGGCCCGCGGCGCAUUAGCUAGUUGGUAAGGUAAUGGCUUACCAAGGCGACAAUGCGUAGCCAACCUGAGAGGGUGAUCGGCCACACUGGGACUGAAACACGGCCCAAACUCCUACGGGAGGCAGCAGUAGGGAAUCUUCCGCAAUGGACGAAAGUCUGACGGAGCAACGCCGCGUGAGUGACGAAGGCCUUCGGGUCGUAAAGCUCUGUUGUUAGGGAAGAACAAGUACCGUUCGAAUAGGGCGGUACCUUGACGGUACCUAACCAGAAAGCCACGGCUAACUACGUGCCAGCAGCCGCGGUAAUACGUAGGUGGCAAGCGUUGUCCGGAAUUAUUGGGCGUAAAGCGCGCGCAGGCGGUCUUUUAAGUCUGAUGUGAAAGCCCACGGCUCAACCGUGGAGGGUCAUUGGAAACUGGAGGACUUGAGUGCAGAAGAGGAGAGUGGAAUUCCACGUGUAGCGGUGAAAUGCGUAGAUAUGUGGAGGAACACCAGUGGCGAAGGCGGCUCUCUGGUCUGUAACUGACGCUGAGGCGCGAAAGCGUGGGGAGCAAACAGGAUUAGAUACCCUGGUAGUCCACGCCGUAAACGAUGAGGUGCUAGGUGUUGGGGGGUUCCACCCUCAGUGCUGAGUUAACACAUUAAGCACUCCGCCUGGGGAGUACGACCGCAAGGUUGAACUCAAGGAAUUGACGGGGGCCCGCACAGCAGUGAGCAUGGUGGUUUAAUUCGAAGCACGCGAGACUUUACAAGUCUUGACAUCUCUGACAUCUGAGACCGAACGUUCUCUCGGGGACGAUGACGUGUGCAUGAUGUCGUCAGCUCUGUCUGAAUGUUAGUUAAGUUCCGCACGAGGCCACCUGAUCUAAUGCAGCAUAGUUCGUGACUUAGGUACUGCGAGUCAACCGAGACUGGCUGCGA